ensembl:misc_RNA Metazoa_SRP Metazoan signal recognition particle RNA
GCCGGGUAUGGUGGCGGGUGCCUGUAAUCCUAGCUACUUGGGAGGCUGAGGCUGGAGAAUCACUUGAACCCAGGAGGCGGAGGUUGCAGUGAGCCAAGAUCACGCCACUGCAAUCCAGCCUGGGUGACAGAGUGAGACUCCAUCUCAA